UACAGAGGGGGCAAGCGUUAUUCGGAAUUAUUGGGCGUAAAGGGCGCGUAGGCGGCCUGGCAAGUGGAUGGUGAAAUCCCUCGGCUUAACCGAGGAACUGCCAUCCUGACUGCUUGGCUUGAGACCGGGAGAGGUGAGUGGAAUUCCCAGUGUAGCGGUGAAAUUCGUAGAUAUCGGGAGGAACACCAGUGGCGAAGGCGGCGACCUGGACGGACACUGACGCUGAGACGCGAAAGCGUGGGGAGCAAACAGG
rnacentral:rRNA from 1 species